rnacentral:rRNA from 1 species
GGUACAAUUGGUUUCUCCCUUCUGACGAAGCAUGAUGUCAUUAAUUUGGUGUCGUGGGGAAUCAGGACUGUUACUUUGAAAAAAUUAGAGUGUUUAAAGCAAGCAUUAGCUUGAAUACAUUAGCAUGGAAUAAUGAAAUAGGACGUUUGAUCCUAUUUCGUUGGUUUCUAGGAUCGACGUAAUGAUUAAUAGGGAUAGUUGGGGGCAUUAGCAUUCAAUUGUCAGAGGUGAAAUUCUUGGAUUUAUUGAAGACUAACUACUGCGAAAGCAUUUGCCAAGGAUGUUUUCAUUAAUCAAGAACGAAAGUUAGGGGAUCGAAGACGAUCAGAUACCGUCGUAGUCUUAACCAUAAACUAUGCCGACUAGGGAUCGGAUGAUGUUAAUUUUUUAAUGACUCAUUCGGCGCCUUACG